UCAUUUGUACUUUUUCUUUGUUCCAAUACUUCUUAGGUAACUUCUUAGACCAAGUCUAGAAACAGUUUGAGGACAAUAACAAUUCCAUUCUAAGAAGAAUCUCCCAACAUUUCUUCUAUCUCAACCUCAACUGCAUCUGCCUGUGAACUUCCAGCUUACCAAGGCUCUAUAUCUUCUGGCAGUGACAAAGGCUCUUUCCAUAUGUAUUCAAUUCCUACCACCGUAGUGGAAGAGAGGCUAUCCCUAUCUUUACAACUGAUAGCAUUUCCAACAGUAAGCUGUGAGAUUCUGCUUGAAAUCACCUCUCAAACAAAUAAAAAACAGACCUGGGAGACACGCUACACUCAUUCUGCUGAAGAAAUAGGGCAAGAAUAUUUUCUAAGACCCCGAACUCCAGAUAUGUGAUGGGGCAAAUCCUGAAGUGUACAUGGCUAUCUCUCACAGCUAAAGCAUCCCUCACCCUAUCCAGCGCUUCUUACCCCUGGCACAAGAGAAUCACCUGCGGGGAGGAAAACUUUCAAAAUCCCUUAAACCCAAGUUGUAACCGCACAACU
rnacentral:lncRNA from 1 species